UGGGGAAUAUUGGACAAUGGGCGAAAGCCUGAUCCAGCCAUGCCGCGUGUGUGAAGAAGGUCUUCGGAUUGUAAAGCACUUUAAGUUGGGAGGAAGGGCAGUAAAUUAAUACUUUGCUGUUUUGACGUUACCGACAGAAUAAGCACCGGCUAACUCUGUGCCAGCAGCCGCGGUAAUACAGAGGGUGCAAGCGUUAAUCGGAAUUACUGGGCGUAAAGCGCGCGUAGGUGGUUCGUUAAGUUGGAUGUGAAAUCCCCGGGCUCAACCUGGGAACUGCAUUCAAACUGACGAGCUAGAGUAUGGUAGAGGGUGGUGGA
rnacentral:rRNA from 1 species